UACGUAGGGGGCAAGCGUUGUCCGGAAUCAUUGGGCGUAAAGAGCGUGUAGGCGGUUCGGUAAGUCGGCUGUGAAAGUCCAGGGCUCAACCCUGGGAUGCCGGUCGAUACUGCCGGACUAGAGUUCGGAAGAGGCGAGUGGAAUUCCCGGUGUAGAGGUGAAAUUCGUAGAUAUCGGGAGGAACACCUGAGGCGAAGGCGGGCUACUGGGCCGAUACUGACGCUGAGGCGCGAAAGCCAGGGGAGCAAACGGG
rnacentral:rRNA from 1 species